CGCAUCAAAGUCAUCUCCAUGGGCAACGCCGAAGUGGGGAAAAGCUGUAUUAUAAAGCGAUACUGUGAGAAAAGAUUUGUGUCUAAAUACCUGGCAACAAUUGGAAUUGACUAUGGAGUCACAAAGGUACACGUCAGAGACAGAGAAAUCAAAGUUAACAUCUUUGAUAUGGCUGGACAUCCCUUCUUCUAUGAGGUAAGAAAGCCUUUUUGACAAAACCUAUAUCCAGUAUUGUUGGUGGUUUGGGGAGAGAUCCAGAAUUAUAUGAAACAACCAAUAUUGAUAUCAUGUGUAAAAUUGCAUAAUUUUAGCUUGAUCGUGGCUUGCCUUCAGACCCUUGAGUUAAUAGACACCUGUUGAUCUUUUAGGUUAUCCUGUUAAAUAGUGGUAGGAAAUUUCAUUGCCAAUAUUUCAGACCUUUUGAUAAGACAUUUUGACUUUCAGAGGACUUUUGCUUUUUACGUCAUACUUUAGCCUAAAAUGUG
rnacentral:sRNA from 1 species